rnacentral:rRNA from 1 species
GACGUAGGGUGCAAGCGUUGUCCGGAAUUAUUGGGCGUAAAGAGUUCGUAGGCGGUUUGUCGCGUCUGCCGUGAAAGUCCGGGGCUCAACUCCGGAUCUGCGGUGGGUACGGGCAGACUAGAGUGAUGUAGGGGAGACUGGAAUUCCUGGUGUAGCGGUGAAAUGCGUAGAUAUCGAGAGGAACACCUGCGGCGAAGGCGGGUUGCUGGGCUGACACUGACGCUGAUGCGCGAAAGCUAGGGGAGCGAACGGG